GGGCAAGGAAGAAUGUAGCAAUAGAUUCAUACCAACUAGAUUGCUCAAUCUUAACAACAAGUGAAAUACAGAAGUCAGUACAUUUAACCAUUACAAAGAUAUCCAGUAAUAGUACAAUACACUCUAGACUUGUAAUAAGAUCUUGUAGUCCCAGAAAAUGCACCAUUUCAUGCCUUGAUGGUCACACUGCACAAGCACAGUCCGGACGGCUUUAUUUCAGAAGUCUGCCACCUGGGGAAGCAUUAGGAUCAUACAACAGUGUACGGUAACCAGGUGCCUCUUCUCGUGAGAACAACAGAAGUUUCCCAUCAAGUAUUCCAAACCGAAAACCAAUACUUGAGCUACCUGUCAAUGGAACUGGCACCAUUUUCCACGAAUUGUCCUCUGGAUUGAAUAUUGCUAGUUUCCGCUGAUUCUUCCACUCCAUACAGAAGAGCUUUUUUUCCAGCACGGCAUGAGCAGUAACCAUGACACAACCAUUCUUGAUCUCACACCAUGAGUUACUCUCAGGAUUGUACACAUCAACAAACUUUGAAUUGCCAAUGGUGAAGCUUGACCGUCCGCCCAUGACAUAAAGCUUCCCCUCAAAGCCACAUGCAAAGCAGC
rnacentral:misc_RNA from 1 species